AUGACCGAUUCCAAACUGCCCGACAACCAGGCCGGGUACGAGAAGGGCCUGAGCGUCGGACUUGCGGCGAUCGCCGGCUGCAACGGCGUAUCCGAGGCAACCG
rfam:Gammaproteobacteria bacterium RIFCSPLOWO2_02_FTLL_61_13 rifcsplowo2_02_scaffold_5759, whole genome shotgun sequence.